rnacentral:rRNA from 1 species
UUGAUUUCACACUGCCGAGAAAAGCCUCUAGAUAGAAAAUAGGUGCCCGUACCGCAAACCGACACAGGUAGUCAAGAUGAGAAUUCUAAGGUGAGCGAGCGAACUCUCGUUAAGGAACUCGGCAAAAUGACCCCGUAACUUCGGGAGAAGGGGUGCUCUUUAGGGUUAACGCCCAGAAGAGCCGCAGUGAAUAGGCCCAAGCGACUGUUUAUCAAAAACACAGGUCUCUGCUAAACCGUAAGGUGAUGUAUAGGGGCUGACGCCUGCCCGGUGCUGGAAGGUUAAGAGGAGUGGUUAGCUUCUGCGAAGCUACGAAUCGAAGCCCCAGUAAACGGCGGCCGUAACUAUAACGGUCCUAAGGUAGCGAAAUUCCUUGUCGGGUAAGUUCCGACCCGCACGAAAGGCGUA